rnacentral:lncRNA from 1 species
UUGAUACCUGUUCCAGUAUUAUACACGCUACUCUGAUGACUGGUGAAAAGGCUUGUAAUGCCAUUAGCCAUGCCAUUAGAGGCAUGGGCAGCCUGGGGAAAGCCUGAUAGUCUCAAGACAGACAACGGGCCUGCCUACACUGCAAAGUCCUUUCAGGCAUUUUGCCAGACAAUGCAGGUCAAACAUACUACAGGAUUGCCAUACAAUCCCCAAGGUCAAGGAAUUGUGGAAAGGGUACAUCGUACCUUAAAAGAGCUUAUACAAAA